ensembl:lncRNA
GCUGCAAGAGGCUCUGGGUUUGCCGUUCAGGCAAUAACAAAAGCCUCCAUCUCAGUCGUUGGCCACCCAGCUGGCCUCCUGAUUGGCUUCACCUCAGGAAAUUGUCCUCCUGACUUACCAGUCUUUCUGUUUGUUUGGACUUGGACUCAUUGUUCUAUUUUUUGGUUCUGUUCUACGUUCCAUCUGUGGUCUGUCCCCACAUUAUCCUGUGUGUGUAUAUUUUGUCUCAUCUUUCCCUUGCCCUUUGUCGCAUUGUCCCUCU